rnacentral:rRNA from 1 species
AUUGAACGCUGGCGGCAUGCUUUACACAUGCAAGUCGAACGGUAACAGGCCUUCGGGUGCUGACGAGUGGCGAACGGGCGAGUAAUGCAUCGGAACGUACCCAGAGGUGGGGGAUAACGCAGCGAAAGCUGUGCGAAUACCGCAUGUGAUCUGAGGAUGAAAGCGGGGGACCGAGCAGCAAUGUUUGGCCUCGCGCCGUUGGAGCGGCCGAUGUCGGAGUAGCUAGUUGGAGGGGUAAAGGCCUACCAAGGCGACGAUCCGUAGCUGGUCUGAGAGGACGACCAGCCACACUGGGACUGAGACGCGGCCCAGACUCCUGCGGGAGGCAGCAGUGGGGAAUUUUGGACAGUGGGCGCGAGCCUGAUCCAGCAAGGCCGCGUGCGGGAAGACGGCCUUCGGGUUGUAAACCGCUUUUGGCAGGAACGAAACGGUGUCCGCUAAUACCGGGCGCUAAUGACGGUACCUGCAGAAUAAGCACCGGCUAACUACGUG